AGGGGAGGGGUUUGGAAUGGGCUCCGGGCUCUGCAGAGGAAGAGAACACAUGUGGAGUCUCAGGUCCCCCUUGGCCUGGCCCUGCCCAGGCAAAGCACAAGAUGGGAAGAUCACAGAAGCUCUGUGUGCUGUCCGAAGGCGAUGUCUUUUAGCAGUGUGCCCAGUGGAACCUCGCAGAAUUCUCAGCAUUAUCCCUUUUCCCCCAUCUCUUGGAACCAGAGCAGAGUGAAGAAGUCCUGUCUCCCAUGUUCUGCCCACCCGUGGAAGGCCCCAGGGAUGCCUGCCGCCCACCGUAUGCAACACCUUGAGCUUCACUGACCCACCUAGUUCCUACUGUCUUCAGUGAAGCUUGAGACAGGUCCUAGAAUUCCCCCUAACUUUUUUUUUUUUUUCGGAGUCUUGCUCUGUCACCCUGGCUGAAGUGCAGUGGUGUAAUCUCAGCUCACUGUAACCUCCACCUCCCAGUUUCAAGCGAUUCUCCUGCCUCAGCCUCCUGAGUAGCUGGGACUACAGGUGUGCACCAUCACACUCACCUAAUUUUUGUAUUUUUAGUAGAGACGGGUUUUCACCAUGUUGGCCAGGCUGGUCUCGAACUUCUGACCUCCAGUGAUUUGCCUGCCUUGGCCUCCCAAAGUGCUGGGAUUACAGGCAUGCGCCACCGCGCCUGGCCUUAGAAUUCAUUUUAUUUGCAUCUCUUUGAGUGUAUUUGCCGUCUUUAGGGCUUCAGCAGGUAAAACUCCAGUCAGCAGCCCCCUUGCUUUUAUAAAAUAAAAGGUGCAACACGCCUGCUGAAACAAGGUUAUUUUGCAUGCACAGUUAUUUUUGUUCUUGUUGUUUCUUUUUGGCUUACAUUUUUAGCUACAUUUCCAGAACCCUGAGAGAAAGUGGCAAGAAACUCUCUGGUGACCGCCAUACUCAUUUUGCCUGAGAGAUGCUAUAGAGAAACUCCCUCAUCUCUGUAGGUACGGUCUUGUCAUGUUCUGAUGAUGCGCGUUUUCGAGGUGAGAUGCUGCUAAGCUCGUACAGAACAGAAAGAGGUUGACUCAGAAGCGAUUUACGACAGGA
rnacentral:lncRNA from 10 species